rnacentral:misc_RNA from 1 species
GAUGAAGAACGUAGCGAAAUGCGAUAAGUAAUGCGAAUUGCAGAAUUUCCGUGAGUCAUCGAAUCUUUGAACGCACAUUGCGCCCCCUGGUAUUCCGGGGGGCAUGCCUGUCCGAGCGUCAUUACAACCCUCAAGCUCAGCUUGGUGUUGGGCCCCGCCGCCCCGGCGGGCCCUAAAGUCAGUGGCGGUGCCGUCCGGCUCCGAGCGUAGUAAUUCUUCUCGCUCUGGAGGUCCGGUCGUGUGCUCGCCAUCAACCCCCAAUUUUUUUCAGGUUGACCUCGGAUCAGGUAGGGAUACCCGCUGAACUUAAGCAUAUCAAUAAGCGGAGGA